rnacentral:rRNA from 1 species
AGUGAACGCUGGCGGUAGGCCUAACACAUGCAAGUCGAACGGCAGCACAGGAGAGCUUGCUCUCUGGGUGGCGAGUGGCGGACGGGUGAGGAAUACAUCGGAAUCUACUCUGUCGUGGGGGAUAACGUAGGGAAACUUACGCUAAUACCGCAUACGACCUACGGGUGAAAGCAGGGGAUCUUCGGACCUUGGGCGAUUGAAUGAGCCGAUGUCGGAUUAGCUAGUUGGCGGGGUAAAGGCCCACCAAGGCGACGAUCCGUAGCUGGUCUGAGAGGAUGAUCAGCCACAGUUGAACUGAGACGCGGUGCAGACUCCUACGGGAGGCAGGAGUGGGAAAUCUUGGGCAAUGGGCGCAAGCUUGAUCCAGCCAUACCGCGUGGGUGAAGAAGGCCUUCGGGUUGUAAAGCCCUUUUGUUGGGAAAGAAAUCCAGCUGGCUAAUACCCGGUUGGGAUGACGGUACCCAAAGUAUAAGCACCGGCUAAGUUCGUGCCAGCCACCGCCGUAA